AUACGGAGGGUGCAAGCGUUAUCCGGAUUUAUUGGGUUUAAAGGGUCCGUAGGCGGAUCUGUAAGUCAGUGGUGAAAUCUCACAGCUUAACUGUGAAACUGCCAUUGAUACUGCAGGUCUUGAGUAAGGUAGAAGUGGCUGGAAUAAGUAGUGUAGCGGUGAAAUGCAUAGAUAUUACUUAGAACACCAAUUGCGAAGGCAGGUCACUAUGUCUUAACUGACGCUGAUGGACGAAAGCGUGGGGAGCGAACAGGAUUAGAUACCCUGGUAGUCCACGCUGUAAACGAUGCUUACUCGUUUUUGGGCUUUCGGGUUCAGAGACUAAGCGAAAGUGAUAAGUAAGCCACCUGGGGAGUACGAACGCAAGUUUGAA
rnacentral:rRNA from 1 species